rnacentral:rRNA from 1 species
GUGCGCCUACGGGAGGCAGCAGUGGGGGAUAUUGCACAAUGGGGGAAACCCUGAUGCAGCGACGCCGCGUGAGUGAAGAAGUAUUUCGGUACGUAAAGCUCUAUCAGCAGGGAAGAAGAAAGACGGUACCUGACUAAGAAGCCCCGGCUAACUACGUGCCAGCAGCCGCGGUAAUACGUAGGGGGCAAGCGUUAUCCGGAUUUACUGGGUGUAAAGGGAGCGUAGACGGCUGUGCAAGUCUGAAGUGAAAGCCCGUGGCUCAACCGCGGAACUGCUUUGGAAA